UUCUUCUUCUUCUUCUCUCUCUCUUCAAUCCACCCUCCGGUAAUAUCAGCUCUCUGAUCUCUAUCUUUGUUUAUAUGAGUGUGCUGGUGUGUUUCUUAAUGCAAUCCUUCAAUUGCUUAGGUUCUUCUUCUCGUUCUUUUUUCUGUUUUUAAUUUUUUUUUUUUAUGUGUGGGUCGUUUUGGUUAGAUCUUUUGGUGAUUUGUGAAAGGUUUUCUAUAUGUUAGAUGGAAUUUUGGUGUUGCUUAGUUAUGGAAUUUUUUACGUGCUUGUUAAUGUUGUUUGUUUUGAUAUUUAAUUUCGUGGUUUUUAUGUUUUUUUCGAUAGGAUGAUUUUGUGUGCUUCUUCUCUGCUUUAUUUCAUUUCACUUUGCUGGAAAUUGGUCAAGCUCAGAGCUCAUAUAAUGACUUGAUCUUUAUUUUUUAAAAAAAUAGAAAGAAAUUAAUCAACCCUCUUAAUCUCUUGAUAAUUUGGGGUUUUUUUUUCUAAGUGUUGAUGUUAAUGAGUUCGUUGAUGAAUGGCUAUGCCAUUGGAUCUAAAUUCAUGUUAUGCAAAAACCCAAUGGUAAGCUUAAAGUCAAAGGGUCUAAACCAUGGUGUUUUGUUGUGAAGAGUGAAUUGUGUUUUGGGGGACUGGAAGAUUUUUUUAAAACUGAUGUAGAUUAUUUGGUGGUUGUUUGCAGAAUUUUGUGAUUGGGAGGGAGAGAGAAUGUCAGGAGGUGGUACGCAGAAAAGCUUAAGGAAAGCACUUGGGGCCCUUAAGGACACAACCACUGUUUCAUUGGCCAAAGUAAAUAGUGAUUACAAGGAAUUGGACAUUGCCAUAGUUAAGGCCACAAAUCAUGUUGAGCGACCUGCAAAGGAAAAACACAUUAGAGCUGUUUUUGCCGCUGUUUCAGCUACUAGGCCUCGAGCUGAUGUUGCUUAUUGCAUUCAUGCUCUUGCUAGAAGGUUAUCAAAAACACAUAACUGGGCGGUUGCAUUGAAAACUUUGAUUGUUAUUCACCGUGCUUUAAGAGAAGUGGACCCCACAUUUCAUGAGGAACUCAUUAAUUAUGGACGAAGCAGGAGUCAUAUGCUUAGCAUGUCUCAUUUCAAAGAUGAUUCCAGUCCAAAUGCAUGGGAUUAUUCUGCCUGGGUUCGCACCUAUGCCUUAUUUUUGGAGGAAAGGCUGGAAUGCUUCCGUGUUCUGAAGUAUGAUGUUGAGACUGAUAGACCAAGGACUAAAGAUCUGGAUACUGCUGAGUUGCUGGAGCAGCUGCCUGCUUUGCAACAACUUCUUUUCCGUGUUCUUGGUUGUCAGCCACAAGGGGCAGCAGUUAAUAACUUUGUCAUUCAGUUGGCACUUUUGUUGGUUGCUUCUGAAAGCAUUAAAAUCUAUCAAGCUAUAAGUGAUGGUACUGCCAAUUUGGUUGACAAGUUCUUUGAGAUGCAACGUCAUGAUGCCUUGAGGGCUUUGGAUAUAUAUAGGAGGGCUUGUCAGCAGGCAGAGAGACUCUCAGAAUUUUAUGAGAUAUGCAAAAGUAUGGAUAUUGGGCGUGGAGAAAGAUUUAUUAAGAUUGAGCAGCCUCCUGCAUCAUUCCUACAAACCAUGGAAGAGUAUGUGCGAGAAGCUCCACGGAUGUCCACAGUUCACAAAGAUCAGGUUGCUGACAAUAAAAUUGCUGCCUCAAAAGAAAUCUUAGCUAUAGAGUACAAAAAGGAGCCAGAGGUGAAGGAGGAGCACCCACCAUCGCCACCUCCACCUGAACCAGUAGAAGUUGAAGAGCCUGUUGUUGAACCACCUGAUUUGUUGGCGUUGGAUGAUCCUGUUCCAGCUGCUUCAGAACUGGAUGAGAAGAAUGCCCUGGCUCUAGCUAUUGUUCCAGUUAGUAAGUUGUUUCUAGUGGUCUGUCUUAAUUUUUCAUGUUGAAGUGUGGCCCAAAAUUCAAGAACUUGCCUUGAUUUGGGGUUCACAGUAUAAAAGCAGCAUAUGUGCCUUUUGUUCCUAGUAUAAUGUUGGAAUUUAAUGAUUGGUCUUAGGAAGAGUUAAGUUUUCAAAACAUCAAGAAACAAAGAGCAUUGAUAAAUGUAAGGAAAAAUUUUCCAUGAUCAUAGGGAAUUCCUUUGGUUCUUUCAUAUCUGCAAAAGUGAAAAACAAGAGUCAUGAGAGAGGUGCUGGCAUGGCCAGCAUGCCCACUCCAAUGCUCAAGUCGGAUGGCAUAUUGAAAAAGGAUUGCAAAACAUACGUCUCCCUGAUAGUGGAGACAAUAUAAGCCUUUAUAAGACGGUGUCCUGAUAGGAUUAGUUACCUUUUUAGAGAUACUCUUAGAUCAAAGGAGUUCGGAAGAGUAAAAUUUCAAAAUAUCAAGAAACAAAAAGAAAUUAAGAGCCUGAAUUUAAAUUAGGAAGAGUAAAUCUUCAAAACACCAAGAAACGAAAAGAAACUAAGAGCAGGAAAUUAGAUUUCAAUCCAAUUAUAUUGAUAGUUUGUUUACUGGAAAAAGUUAAAUUUUAAAAUUUGUUUUUGCGUGGUUCUGCUGUUGCAGCUGACCAACCAAGUACAACUCCGCCCAGUCAAGUAAAUGGUACCACAGGAUGGGAACUGGCACUUGUUACAGCUCCAAGUUCGAAUGAUAGUGCUGCAACUGCUAGCAAACUGGUACUGCUGCUAUUAGUUAUCCUAUUUCUUAAUAUCUUAGUAGAACAGUAUCAGUUGGAUGUUGACUAUUUUAAAUAAAUGCUCAUAUGCACAAAAGAUGUGGUUGUGUUGUUGUGGUUAUGUUGACUAACCCGACUCAUUCAUUUCCAUUAACAAGGCGGGAGGGCUAGAUAAACUCACAUUAGACAGCUUAUACGAUGAUGCAAUUAGACGAAACAAUCAGCCUGUGAGCUACAAUCCUUGGGAGCCAGCCCCAAUGGUUAAUCCCAUGAUGCAAACAACUGCACAUGAUCCUUUCUUUGCCUCCAAUGCAGUAGCUGCACCACAUUCAGUGCAGAUGGCUGCAAUGACCAAUCAACAGCAGGCUUUCAUGUUGCAGCAGCGGCAGCAGAUGAUGAUGAUGAUGGGCCCACAACAGCCGCCUUCAAAUCCCUUCGGCAAUCCUUACGGAGCUAGUGUCCAUCCAUAUGGCUCAGGUAUGCCACCUGUUCAAGCCUAUAAUCCAUAUUCAGGCUUUAGAUAGAAGCUUUGCAAGCCAGACACAUUCUUUAUCUGGAAACAUGAGGAAGAAAGAUGUGCGAAUUGAUCAACUUUUAGAUUUUGAGAUUGGGGAAGAGUCGACAGUUGUGUACAAUAUGUUUGUGUAUGUGUUCAGUAGUCAGUUAGAAUGAGAUUCUUCUUCUUCAAUAAUGAGCGGGAGGAAAGCUUUGAAUUAGUGAUUAUUUACAUUGAUGAAGGUUAGUAAUAAUGCUUUGCUUUUCAAACUACUUAAGUUUCAUCAACCUGCUUUGUUGUUGAUUAAACAUAAGCAGGAAUUAUAUCUUGUUAUUCUUUUCGCUGUUAAAUUUUACUCAUAGAUGAUAGAAAUGAUUUGUAAUCUUUGUGAUUAUUACCACAUUAAUGUAAUGUAAUGAAGAGACAACAGGUUUGAUUUGUG
rnacentral:misc_RNA from 1 species